rnacentral:rRNA from 1 species
UUAAUUGAAGAGUUUGAUCAUGGCUCAGAUUGAACGCUGGCGGCAGGCCUAACACAUGCAAGUCGAGCGGCAGCACAGAGGAACUUGUUCCUUGGGUGGCGAGCGGCGGACGGGUGAGUAAUGCCUGGGAAAUUGCCCGGUAGGGGGGGAUAACCAUUGGAAACGAUGGCUAAUACCGCAUAACCUCG